CAAUUUCAUAAGCAUUUAGAAAUCGGUAUUUGUAGGAAAAACCCUGAUUUUCAUACACCUCGGCAGCUCGACUAGGUUUUUUUUGCUACUGUCAGAGCAAAUAUAUAAGCAGCUAGCUUUGUCUAGUCACAGGUGUUUUCAGACAGGAAAGAGGGUUAAAUACAUGAUUGACAGCUUUAACUACCAAUCAGUGAUCAGACUCUGUUGGGCGUGACCUGGAUGUGAUUCUCUUGCUCUAAUCUGUGGCACAACACAGGAAGUUGGAACUGUGGCUUUGCUUUUCUGUAACAGCAUAAGACAACGUCAGGUUCUUCUGUAUUUAUAUUUAGUAUUUCCCUUUGGACUGAGAGGAGAGAGCUCCAAAGGGCGUUUUUCUAAGUAUGUUAUAAUUCUGGCAUUUUUUUUUUUUUUUUACCUCAGGGUUGCACACUGUUCAUGCAUGAGUCUGAUGGCAUGGCCACGAAUAAAAAAGGAUUUCAAUAAAAAAAAACUGAGCUGAGCAUUAAGAUCUGCAGAGAAAGAAAGAAAAAACAAACAUAUCAUUGGCUUCCUAUGUUAUAAUCUAUAGGAAUUUUUAAUGUAGCUCGAUUUGUAGCAUGAGUCUGAUCUAAUAAAAAAAACUGAUAAUUAAAUUUUUUUGUACAAAAGAAAUAUGAACCAUUUUUUUAUUUUAACCACAGAAACGGAAAAGCAAAUAUUA